rnacentral:lncRNA from 1 species
AGAGGGGGCAAGGAAGGAAAACAAAGCUGCAAGCACUGAAGAAUAUUAACAAGAGAAUAAGGUUGCCAGAUUUAACAAAUAAAAAUAUAAAACGCCGGCCAGCUUUUCACUGUGCCCACUGGUCACCCCUUGCUGGGCCUCCAGGGGCCUCAGUAAGGCUGGCCGAGGUACCUGCUGCCCUGCCUGGAACCCACCUCCUUAAGAAUCCUGACUGCCCCACAGGAACCAUGGUGAGGACUUGCUUGCCAGCAGCCAUCAAGGGCUCCUCAGAGAAAUGGCUGAUUCUAGGACUGGGGCAAGAAAUAUACAAGAUAAAUCUACAUAAAGGAAGUACUAAAAAAAAAUCUCCAAAUCCUACAUUAAAGGGACACAGGAGCCAACUGGAAGAGCUCCCAACGGCCAAAGCCAGAACAACUUGAGAAACAAAAUAAAGUAGGGUCGAGUCAUGACCCAUAAUGACAUAGGUGUCCAUGAGUCAGUGCUGACAGAAAUCAGUGACUGAAUAAACUAAGUGGGAAAGAAGAGACAAAUCACCAUUGCAAAAGGAUUCCAAAUAAUUUAUGCAGAUACCCUGCCCUCAAGGAGGGGACCGUGACUCCCCCACUCCUUAGGUGUGGGCUCUGCACCAUC